rnacentral:rRNA from 1 species
AGCCACCGGCCAAAUUUCUGGAUCCAGCGAGCCCGCGUAAUACAGGAGGGUGCAAGCCUUUAAUCAGAAUUUACUGGGCGCUUAAUGCGCUAGUCAGGGCGGUUUGUCCAAUUCGAGAUGUGAAAAUCCCCGGGCUUAACCGGGGACGUCCACCUAGAACCGGGCAGGUUGAGAUUCUGUUGAGGGCGGAUAGAAUUCCAGUGUUAGCGGAGAAAUGCGUCGAGAUGAGAGGGAAUCCCGGGGGGGGAGGGCGCCCCCUGGAUAAGAAUACCACUCAGGUGUGAAAGCUUGGGGAGCAACCAGGAUUAAGUUCCCCUGGUUAUUCCACCCCGUAACGAAGGUAGAUAUGGAGGUUGUUCCCUUGAGGAGUAGUUUCCGAAGUUAACCCGUAAGUCGCCCCCUGGGGGAGUACGGCGCCAAGGUUAAAAUUCAAAUAAAUGGACGGGGGCCCGCCCAAGCGGUGGAGCAUGUGGUUUAUUUCGACGAAACGCGAAGAACCUUCCCUACUUUUGCCAUCCGGAGAAUUUCGCGGAGAUGAUUGGGUCCCUUCGGGAAUUUUGAGCCAGUUGUUGCAGGGCUUUGUUAAGCUGGUGUUUUGAAACGUUGGGUUAAGUCCCGCACGGAGCGCAACCCUUAUCCUUCUUUCCCACCGGUUCGGCCGGGCACUCAAAGGAGACUGCCAGUGAUAAACCGGAGGAAGGUGGGGAUGACGUCAAGUCAUCAUGGCCCUUACGAGUAGGGCUACACACGUGCUACAAUGGCAUAUACAAAGGGAAGCCACCUCGCGAGAGCAAGCGGACCUCACAAAGUAUGUCGUAGUCCGGAUCGCAGUCUGCAACUCGACUCCGUGAAGUCGGAAUCGCUAGUAAUAGUAGAUCAGAAUGCCCGGUGAAUACGUUCCCGGGCCUCUUACGGCCCCCUCCCCCCAUGGGAGUGGGUUCCCCUCCCCCUUCUAUCUUAACCUUCGGGAGGCCGCUUCCCCUUUGCGAUUCAUGACUGGGGAAAUUCUAACCAACGUACCAAGG